ACGGCCAUACCACAUUGAAAACACCGGUUCUCGUCCGAUCACCGAAGUUAAGCAAUGUCAGGCCUGGUCAGUACUUGGGAGGGUGACCACCUGGGAACACCGGGUGCUGUAGGCU
rnacentral:rRNA from 1 species